AGGGAUUGCCUUAGUAGCGGCGAGUGAAGCGGCAAAAGCUCAAAUUUGAAAUCUGGCACCUUCGGUGUCCGAGUUGUAAUUUGAAGAUUGUAACCUUGGGGUUGGCUCUUGUCUAUGUUUCUUGGAACAGGACGUCACAGAGGGUGAGAAUCCCGUGCGAUGAGAUGCCCAAUCCUAUGUAAGGUGCUUUCGAAGAGUCGAGUUGUUUGGGAAUGCAGCUCUAAGUGGGUGGUAAAUUCCAUCUAAAGCUAAAUAUUGGCGAGAGACCGAUAGCGAACAAGUACAGUGAUGGAAAGAUGAAAAGAACUUUGAAAAGAGAGUGAAAAAGUACGUGAAAUUGUUGAAAGGGAAGGGUUUGAGAUCAGACUCGAUAUUUUGUGAGCCUUGCCUUCGUGGCGGGGUGACCCGCAGCUUAUCGGGCCAGCAUCGGUUUGGGCGGUAGGAUAAUGGCGUAGGAAUGUGACUUUGCUUCGGUGAAGUGUUAUAGCCUGCGUUGAUGCUGCCUGCCUAGACCGAGGACUGCGAUU
rnacentral:rRNA from 1 species